rnacentral:rRNA from 1 species
CUCUUCUUGUUUAUUAUUUGAAGUAUGGUCUGCCCGCUGAUAUUAAUUGAAGGGCCGCGGUAUUUUGACCGUGCAAAGGUAGCAUAAUCAUUAGUUCUUUAAUUGUGGACUGGUAUGAAUGGCUUGACGAGGUACUGUCUGUCUUUAUAUUGAAUUUUUAUAGAAUUUGGUUUUUGGGUAAGAAUACCUAAAUUUUAUUAUGGGACGAGAAGACCCUAUAGAGUUUUAUAUAAUAACUUCUUUAUUUGUUUGAUUUUUUGGAUAGGAUUGGUUAAUUAUAUUUUGUUGGGGUGAUGGGAUGAUAAUUUUAACUCUUCCUUAUUUUUUUUUCACUUAUUUGUGUUUUAAUGAUCCYUUAUUAUUGAUUAUAARAUUAAAUUACC